rnacentral:rRNA from 1 species
UACGGAGGGUGCGAGCGUUGUCCGGAAUCACUGGGCGUAAAGGGCGCGUAGGCGGCCUGGUAAGUAGGGGGUGAAAUCCUGCGGCUUAACCGCAGGGCUGCCUUCUAAACUGUCAGGCUUGAGCACAGUAGAGGCAGGUGGAAUUCCCGGUGUAGCGGUGGAAUGCGUAGAGAUCGGGAAGAACACCGGAGGCGAAGGCGGCUUGCUGGACCUGGUCUGACGCUGAGGCGCGAAAGCGUGGGGAGCGAACAGG